rnacentral:rRNA from 1 species
CGUCAAAUCAUCAUGCCCCUUAUGACCUGGGCUACACACGUACUACAAUGGGCAGAAACAGAGGGAAGCGAAAUAGCGAUAUGGAGCAAAACCCUAAACCUGUUCUCAGUUCGGAUUGCAGGCUGCAACCCGCCUGUAUGAAGUCGGAAUUGCUAGUAAUCUCGGAUCAGCAUGUCGAGGUGAAUACGUUCCCGGGUCUU